ACCCUCGGCGCCAAGGGGGAAGAGCUGCAGGCUCCCUGCCUGAGGGCCCAAGAUUCCGCGUCUUAGAAGUAUUGGAAACUUUUGAAAUUCUUUCUGAAACCAGAUAUUGAAGAUCACACUGUUUAUUUUAAAUUCCUGUCUGCCAUGCCACCCUGCCUUGGAGCC